UUUUCAGAAAAUGUAGGACUAUCUUUUGUUUUUACUCUCUUUUUCUAUGAUGAUUUCCCUACUGUGAAGCUUUUCUUGUAUAAAGCUCAAUUUCUCUAUGACCACUGAAGUAAACAUCCUGAUGCAUUCAUUCUUGCCAUGUGAAUGUUGAGAGCGUGUUCAUUUUUGAAAUCUCCUUUCUGACAGACAUAUUCCACAGGAUCAGCUGAGAUGUUAUUUCACUGGAUUAUUUAAUGGAUAGGCUUAUUGGGCAUAUAGUUGGAUAUCUCUGUCAUCAACAUGGAAGAUAUGGUUUGUUCCAAACCAUCUAUGGAACAAACCAUCUGUAAUCAAUUCUCUAUGAAGUUCAGACUGUCUGCUGUUCCUUUGGAAAUACACAGUUAGUCAACCAACAUAGAAACACACAAACUUGAAGGAUUCUCUAGUGAGGGCUUAUGGAAAUGAUCUAUGUCUACUCUCAGAAUGGUGAAAGACUUUCAGAUUAUGCAAAGACUAACAGAAUACCCUCUCUUGGAACACUGAAACAAGAAACUCAAACAGGAUGGGGGAUUUAAGAAGAACAGAGAUAAAUAUGAUUUCCAACCAAUUUAACCAGUACGAUCAUAGACUGUGGUUUACAGGAUGACAAAGAAAGGAGCCAGGAUUGUAUCUUUUACUGUCAGACACUGACUAUGGAUAAAGUGUAAUCAUUUAUCAGACUGAGAUCUAGUCAAAUCAAGUAUUGGAAAUAUGAUUUUCUGAUAGCAUGAGCUCUUUAAAAACUAAUUCUCACGGACCUCAAAGUAUCUGAAUGUGACACAUUUAAACCUUUUAUUUUUCAUCUUAUUUUUACAACCCCCUAGAAAUUACACAGAUAUCUAGAUACUGGAUUUGAUGUAAUUAUUACUUUCCUGGAAUUGUAAAUAUAUUUUGUUUGUGUAUGUAUCAUGUUUAAUUUUGAAUUUAAAAUUGGUCUCAAUAAGACCCC